GACGAACGCUGGCGGCGUGCUUAACACAUGCAAGUCGAACGGAAAGGCCCUGCUUUUGUGGGGUGCUCGAGUGGCGAACGGGUGAGUAACACGUGAGUAACCUGCCCUUGACUUUGGGAUAACUUCAGGAAACUGGGGCUAAUACCGGAUAGGAGCUCCUGCUGCAUGGUGGGGGUUGGAAAGUUUCGGCGGUUGGGGAUGGACUCGAGGCUUAUCAGCUUGUUGGUGGGGUAGUGGCUUACCAAGGCUUUGACGGGUAGCCGGCCUGAGAGGGUGACCGGCCACAUUGGGACUGAGAGACGGCCCAGACGCCUACGGGAGGCAGAAGUGGGGAAUAUUGCACAAUGGGCGGAAGCCUGAUGCAGCAACGCCGCGUGCGGGAUGACGUCCUUCGGGUUGUAAACCGCUUUCGCCUGUGACGAAGCGUGAGUGACGGUAAUGGGUAAAGAAGCACCGGCUAACUACGUG
rnacentral:rRNA from 1 species